rnacentral:ncRNA from 1 species
CCCCAACACUCUGGAGAGACCGGUUCGAUCCGGCGCCGAAGGGGCACGAGAGGUGGAGCGAUCCGCCUUUCCAAACUCUCAGGCAAAAGGACAGAGGGGCGCGA